rnacentral:rRNA from 1 species
GAUGAACGCUGGCGGCGUGCCUAAUACAUGCAAGUCGAGCGAACAGAUAAGGAGCUUGCUCCUUUGACGUUAGCGGCGGACGGGUGAGUAACACGUGGGUAACCUACCUAUAAGACUGGAAUAACUCCGGGAAACCGGGGCUAAUGCCGGAUAACAUUUAGAACCGCAUGGUUCUAAAGUGAAAGAUGGUUUUGCUAUCACUUAUAGAUGGACCCGCGCCGUAUUAGCUGGUUGGUAAGGUAACGGCUUACCAAGGCAACGAUUCGUAGCCAACCUGUGAGGCGGAUAGGCCACAUGGGAACUGAGCCGCGGUCCAUACGCCUACGGGAGGCAGCAGUAGGGAAUCUUCCGCAAUGGUCGAAAGCCUUACGGAGCAACGCCGCGUGAGUUAUGAAGGUCUUCGGAUCGUAAAACUCUGUUAUUAGGGAAGAACAAAUGUGGAAGUAACUGUGCACGUCGUGACGGUACCGAAUCAGAAAGCCACGGCUAACUACGUG